rnacentral:rRNA from 1 species
AGAGUUUGAUCAUGGCUCAGAUUGAACGCUGGCGGUAUGCUUAACACAUGCAAGUCGAACGGCAGCGCGGGAUGUAGCAAUACAUUCUGGCGGCGAGUGGCGGACGGGUGAGUAACGCGUAGGAAUCUGCCCUAUAGCGGGGGACAACCCGGGGAAACCCGGGCUAAUACCGCAUAAUACUCUACGGAGGAAAGCUUGGCGUAAGCCUGGCACUAUAGGAGGAGCCUGCGUCCGAUUAGUUAGAUGGUGAGGUAAACGCUUACCAUGGCGAUGAUCGGUAGCUGGUCUGAGAGGAUGACCAGCCACACUGGGACUGAGACACGGCCCAGACUCCUACGGGAGGCAGCAGUGGGGAAUAUUGGACAAUGGGGGCAACCCUGAUCCAGCAAUACCGCGUGUGUGAAGAAGGCCUUCGGGUUGUAAAGCACUUUAGGCUGGGAAGAAGGUGCGCAGUUUAAGAGAUGGCGCAUUUGACGGUACCGGCAGAAUAAGCACCGGCUAACUCUGUGCCAGCAGCCGCGGUAAUACAGAGGGUGCGAGCGUUAAUCGGAGUUACUGGGCGUAAAGGGCGCGUAGGCGGUCUUUUAAGUGAGAUGUGAAAUCCCCGGGCUUAACCUGGGAACUGCAUCUUAUACUGAGAGGCUGGAGUACUGUAGAGGGUAGUGGAAUUUCCGGUGUAGCGGUGAAAUGCGUAGAGAUC